UUAUCCACAGUUCCACACUCAUGCCUCCCCCAGCGCCGUCGUCCUUCCAGAAGACCGAUGUUGGCGUCCGCGCCCAUGCACCUCCCUUCCCAAUGCGAGCUCUCCCUCCCUCCCUUCUCUGGCGCUGAGGACACCCCUUCCCAACGCAAGCUCUCCCUCCCUCCCUUCUCCGGCGCUGAGAUCACCUUGCUCCCUAGACAAGCCACGUCGGCGCAGGUCAGGCAGUGCACAAGCUCAUAGCUGCCGACCGAUGGGGUGUCCGCCCAUCUUCUCCCUUGGCUAGAUCGAUGAUGGAGUGGCUGCCCUUCUUCUCCCUUGACCGGAUCUACGAUGGACUGGCAAGCUGACGACGCGCCGUGCUAUUCGUCCGCUCCCCAGGUCUGUUCGUCCCCUUCCCUGGACUAUUUAUGCACGUGUGUGCCUGGACUACGAGGGCUACUCUAUGCUACUGGAUCCAUCAUCGAGUCCUAGGCUUGAUGGAUCCAGAGGAAGACAAAACCAAGGCCAUGGCUUUUGAUUUCUUCUCCCAUCUGGAUUCCAUGCCUCUGCCUUCCAAUCCCGCUGGUAUAAAAUCUCCUGUGUAUGUCGUGCAGAUUUCAGGGUAUUUUGAGUAGUCAAUGUUGCCAUGGAUGUGUUAAAGGUAAAUAUUGUGCUGAGUCUUGUCAAUUCAUUUCAUUGUUCUUUCAAAAUUUCUAGUUGAUUCUCCUGUUGGGCUACUACUAUUACCUGAGCUGAGAGCACAGUUAGGACACCUGAACAAAUACAACAGUUGUAAGAAAAAGUACAGUUUGAUAGAGUAAGUUUCUCCUUUAAGCAUAGUUUGAUAGGUGGUACUAAGUAAGUGAUGGAAAUAUCAUAUUUCUAACCUUGAGCUCUUUGUUCUUUCAAGGUUACAGAUUUGUUUUAUUAAAAUAAAUUUUAGAGGAAUGGUUUGCUUCAGUUGACAUACAAUUCACAUCUUUGUAUACUUUUUAGUUGAUGGAUGUUUUGUCUCCAUCUGCAUGAGUUUAAAUUCAGUGUGAUGGAUGCUAGAGAUUCAUAAUUCCUUUGAUAAUUUGCAUAUGUUAUAAUCAAGUUAAUUCCAUGCACCUAGUUCGUAUGACAUCAUGUCUCAAUAGUCAAUGUCAACUGAUUACUCUGUCCGGCAACAGCGUUCAAGAUGUCAUCAUCGCUUCCUCCUACAAGGUAUCUCAAAAACACUGAUUAGAAAUUGUCUUGACACUGAUUAGAAAUUCGGCAGCAACGUUCAAGAUGUCUGAUUUGGUUUAUUUUGAUUGUGUAUUCGACUCUGUUCCCAUAAAACAAGUAAGAUAGUAAUUUCAUUUUUCACUCAGAUUGCAAAAGCAUGUCUCGAUCUAGGUUAUGUAUGCACAAUACCUGGUAGUAAGCAGAUCUCUGAUGCUCUGUUCCAUUUCUGAGGAAAAUAAGUUUAGUCUAUUAAGGUGGCACUUUGAUCCCUGAUGCUCUGCUCAAUCUCUGUGAAUUUUCAGUGGAGAGGGUAGAAGCAAUUCUAGCAGAGCUGGAGCUGUUUCUCCAGCAGUGCUUAUUGAUGUGGAUGCUGCACCCACUCCUGCUGCCAUAGGGUCUAAACUUCAGAGAGGAAAAACUGAAGCAGCUGGGUACUUGCUUAUCACUAGAAUGCCAUUAAGCCCUUACACAUGUGUUGCUGCUGCAGGUUUAAAUUUGAGACUUGAGACCCUACAUGUGUAAUGAAUUGGUGGAUUGAUGUAAUGAUAUUGUAUUUACUGUGGAGAUGUUAAUUCAUUUGGAUCUGAUAUUUAUAUGUUGAAAAAUUAUAUGGAUGCAAUUAUAUGGGCUGAA